rnacentral:lncRNA from 1 species
GUCGGGGAGUGGGGAACGGAGCCUGGGUUGGUCUAGCCAGUUCCUUCUUAUCAAGAUGUUCAUUCACUGUGAAUCCUACAGUUAUUUUUGCGAACCACAGGUGAGAAAGGGGAGAACCGGGUUGAUCCAAAGCUCCCUGGAGAACUGGCUUGCAUACGCUUCCACUUAUAUGAUGUUCUGUAACAGGUAAUCGAGGGAGGAAAAAACUCUGAAUGAUAAUUUGGCAGCAGGCCUAGGGGUGGAGAGAGGGAACGACUAGAAAAGGGUACAGGCAUAUUUUCUGUGGAGAUGGAAAUGUUUUGUAUAACUUGAUGGGAGUUUGGAUCACACCGGUAUUUGCAUCUGUCAAAACUUAGCAAAUGUACACUUAUGGUUCAUGCAUUUCUUUGUAUCUGAAUUUUAUAUCCAGCCAGGUGUGAUGGUGCAUGCCUGUUACCCCAGCAACUCUGGAGUAAGGCAGGAGGAUUGCAAGUUUGAGGCCAGCCUCAGCAACUUAGCAAGGCCCUAAGCAACUUAGUAAGACCCUGUCUCAAAAAAAUUUUUUUAAACAAUUUUUUUUUGAGAGAGAGAGACAGAGGGAGAGAGAGAGAG